GACGAAGGGGGCUAGCGUUGUUCGGAGUUACUGGGCGUAAAGGGUGUGUAGGCGGUUGUUUAAGUUUGGUGUGAAAUCUCCCGGCUCAACUGGGAGGGUGCGCCGAAUACUGAAUGACUAGAGUACGGGAGAGGAAAGUGGAAUUCCUGGUGUAGCGGUGAAAUGCGUAGAUAUCAGGAGGAACACCGGUGGCGAAGGCGGGUCUCUGGGCAGUAACUGACGCUGAGGAGCGAAAGCGUGGGGAGCGAACAGG
rnacentral:rRNA from 1 species